GUACUGAUGAAGAGUCCUAAACUAGGGCGAAACACAUGUCCAGUAC
rfam:Trichobilharzia regenti genome assembly, scaffold: TRE_scaffold0057728